AAAUGACUCUCGGCAACGGAUAUCCCGGCUCUCGCAUCGAUGAAGAACGUAGCGAAUGCGAUACUUGGUGUGAAUUGCAGAAUCCCGUGAACCAUCGAGUCUUUGAACGCAAGUUGCGCCCGAAGCCAUUAGGCUGAGGGCACGUCUGCCUGGGUGUCACGC
rnacentral:rRNA from 1 species